AAAAGCGCAUGUGCUGUGAGCUCGAUGAGUAGGGCGGGACACGUGGUAUCCUGUCUGAAUAUGGGGGGACCAUCCUCCAAGGCUAAAUACUCCUGACUGACCGAUAGUGAACCAGUACCGUGAGGGAAAGGCGAAAAGAACCCCGGCGAGGGGAGUGAAAAAGAACCUGAAACCGUGUACGUACAAGCAGUGGGAGCACAGGUUUACCUGUGUGACUGCGUACCUUUUGUAUAAUGGGUCAGCGACUUAUAUUCUGUAGCAAGGUUAACCGUAUAGGGGAGCCGGAGGGAAACCGAGUCUUAAUUGGGCGUUAAGUUGCAGGGUAUAGACCCGAAACCCGGUGAUCUAGCCAUGGGCAGGUUGAAGGUUGGGUAACACUAACUGGAGGACCGAACCGACUAAUGUUGAAAAAUUAGCGGAUGACCUGUGGCUGGGGGUGAAAGGCCAAUCAAACCGGGAGAUAGCUGGUUCUCCCCGAAAGCUAUUUAGGUAGCGCCUCGUGAAUUCAUCUCCGGGGGUAGAGCACUGUUUCGGCUAGGGGGCCAUCCCGGCUUACCAACCCGAUGCAAACUGCGAAUACCGGAGAAUGUUAUCACGGGAGACACACGGCGGGUGCUAACGUCCGUCGUGAAGAGGGAAACAACCCAGACCGCCAGCUAAGGUCCCAAAGUCAUGGUUAAGUGGGAAACGAUGUGGGAAGGCCCAGACAGCCAGGAUGUUGGCUUAGAAGCAGCCAUCAUUUAAAGAAAGCGUAAUAGCUCACUGGUCGAGUCGGCCUGCGCGGAAGAUGUAACGGGGCUAAACCAUGCACCGAAGCUGCGGCAGCGAACGUAUCACCCAAGACAACUUUACGGAGUUGACGAUUGACGGAGCGAAGCGACGUCAAAGCGUUCAUUAAAGUCGAGUUGGCUUAGGGAUACGUUCGUUGGGUAGGGGAGCGUUCUGUAAGCCUGUGAAGGUGUGUCGUGAGGCAUGCUGGAGGUAUCAGAAGUGCGAAUGCUGACAUAAGUAACGAUAAAGCGGGUGAAAAGCCCGCUCGCCGGAAGACCAAGGGUUCCUGUCCAACGUUAAUCGGGGCAGGGUGAGUCGACCCCUAAGGCGAGGCCGAAAGGCGUAGUCGAUGGGAAACGGGUUAAUAUUCCCGUACUUGGUGUUACUGCGAAGGGGGGACGGAGAAGGCUAUGUUGGCCGGGCGACGGUUGUCCCGGUUUAAGCGUGUAGGUGUGUGUUCCAGGUAAAUCCGGUUCACUUUAACACUGAGGCGUGACGACGAGGCACUACGGUGCUGAAGCAACAAAUGCCCUGCUUCCAGGAAAA
rnacentral:rRNA from 1 species